UCCGACGUUGUAUACAGUCAGAUGUGUGU
rnacentral:piRNA from 1 species